rnacentral:rRNA from 1 species
AUUGAACGCUGGCGGCAUGCCUUACACAUGCAAGUCGAACGGCAGCACGGGAGCUUGCUCCUGGUGGCGAGUGGCGAACGGGUGAGUAAUGCAUCGGAACGUGCCCUGAAGUGGGGGAUAACGUAGCGAAAGUUACGCUAAUACCGCAUAUUCUGUGAGCAGGAAAGCAGGGGAUCUUCGGACCUUGCGCUUUUGGAGCGGCCGAUGUCGGAUUAGCUAGUUGGUGGGGUAAAGGCCCACCAAGGCGACGAUCCGUAGCGGGUCUGAGAGGAUGAUCCGCCACACUGGAACUGAGACACGGUCCAGACUCCUACGGGAGGCAGCAGUGGGGAAUUUUGGACAAUGGGCGCAAGCCUGAUCCAGCCAUGCCGCGUGAGUGAAGAAGGCCUUCGGGUUGUAACCGUCUUUCUAGCAGGAAGAAGCGAAAGUGACGGUACCUGCAGAAGAAGCACCGGC